rnacentral:lncRNA from 1 species
CACUUUUUCUUCAGUAUUGUAAAUUGUUCCUCGUUUUCCUGUGCAUACUCCAUAUAGAUAGGUUAUUCUGGUACAAGUUAACCCAGGGGAAGCUUUUACUAUAAGAAGAGAAGAUGGACAGUUUCAGUGCAUUACAGCUUUGCAAAAAAAAAAAAAGAAAGAAAGAAACCAUUCACCAAUUAAAGCUGUUAACGUGUACUACGCUGUUUCCUUGUUGGAUUUUCUUGUUCCCUGCUGCUACUGUAAAAACAAAAUGAGUGGUCCUGCUCAGGUUCCAAUGAUGUCCCCAAAUGGUUCUGUGCCUCCAAUUUAUGUGCCUCCUGGCUAUGCCCCACAGGUAUGUUUUGUUAUUUUUCUUUUUUAUUUAUGAAGAUAGUUACUCCUUUUUCUUUGAUUUUGAUGAAAAAAUAAUACUUAAGUUCUGAAAUUAAAC